rnacentral:tRNA from 1 species
GGGGACAUGUUGUAACUCGUUGGCUGUUAUGCUCUUACGAAGAGCAUCAUCCGGUCUUGAAAACCGGAGUGCCCGCAAGGGUACCCAGGGUUCGAAUCCCUGUCUCUCCG